CAGAUCCCAGCAAGCGCUCUUAGUGUAAUCUUGACAGAUAAAGUUGGAAGAAGACCACUUCUAUUGGUUUCAUCCGCUGGAAUGGGCUUCAGUUGCUUUCUUCUGGGAUUCUCAUUCUUCAUGCAGGACCUGCAGUAUUAGAAGAAAGUCACUCCCAUUUUGGCCUAUGUAUGCAUUUUGGUGUAUUCCAUAACUUACUCACUAGGCA